GCGGAAAUAGCUUAAUGGUAGAGCAUAGCCUGCAAGGCUGAGUUGAGGUUCAAGUCCUCCUUCCGCU
rnacentral:tRNA from 1 species